GCCAACACAGAGCAUGUGGUACCUGGUGGCCAUUGUCCUCUUUGCGUGGGCUUCGAUGGAAGACUGGGAGGCGGUGAAUGGGUCCCCGGAUAAUAUUGAAAAGACAUUUGAAAGGUGAGCUCUCCCUUUCCAGGUAAAAAAGUAUAUGUGCACUGGUGCUAACGUAGUGAGGUGGAUUUUAUUGACUGCUUUGAAGGCGAACAUAGAGAAUGCUCUUCCUGAUGCUGUGUGAGCACACAGAGUAUUGAAAAAGCCUUACAAGUGGCGAGCUCUUGCUUGCAGGAUAAAGCAGCAUGCAUGGCCACUGACACCAUGGGGUGGAUUUUGUUGACUGCCUUGAAGGUGAACAUGGAGAAUGCUUUCUGUGAUGCUGUGAGAGUGCACAAAGAGUAUUGUAAAGGCGUUACAAGUGGCAAACUUUUGCUUGCUGGAUAAAGCGGUGUGCACUACCACUGACACUAUGGGGUGGAUUUUAUUGCCUGUGUUUGGCUCUCUGUGAUGCUGCGCAAGUGUGCAAACUGCAGAGAUGCGCAGAGGAACUAGAGCAACAGGUACUGAUGCUAGAACAAGAGCUGCAUGACCUUGGGGACUAUGAUGUCUCAAACUAUGAGAUUACAGAAUGUCAGGCAACUCAUGCAGGGUGCGCCUCAUCUAACGCACAGUCUGAUGAAAUGGAUCAAUGCUGCCAUCUACACGGUGUGGAUGAAAGCGGGAGAGUUCCUGGAUAUCAUGUAAAAAGCUGUGUCCUAUGAUGUAGACAGUGUACUGUAAAGGUUGUAUCCUCAGAUUUUAAAAAGUGUAACCUAAUGAGGUAACGGCUUGGCUACACUGAUGCCUACAUCAUGCAGGGACAAAACCCAUGUGAGCAAUUGCCAAAGGGUGGGAUCUUCCUAUUUCUUGGAGAGAAAUAGCAAGUGCCUGCCAUGAUUGUCCCACAUGUGCCCGGGAAGCUCUUCACCCCCACAGGCUGGCAGCCACCACUGGACAGGUGGUAAGCAGGAAAGUUCCUUUGACUCAAUGGCAAGUGGACUUUGUAGGGCCUCUGCCAUUAUCGGAGAAUGCCAGCUUCACUUUAACAACUAUAGAUGCAGCUACAGGUUUUCUGUUUGUCUGGCCAUGCAAGGCUGCUGUACAAGUACCAACACUGUACAUUUAAGGCACUUGACUACCUGAAAGCCAUCUAUGGCCAUCUUCUGAUUAUAGAGAGUGGCCAGGGUACCCAUUUCACCAGAAAGGAAGUCCAGGACUGGGUACAGAGGCUGGGAAUUCA
ensembl:lncRNA